GUCAUUUCUGACGUCUCCUGCUCCGGGAUCCUCCUCCCCCAGCCCUGUGUUGGCCCCGUUGGCCCUGUGGUCUGAGCAAGGAGUCCUCCUCCUCCUCCUGCCACAUGCUUACAGCGGUCAGUCCUGCUCCUGCUGCCUAGCAAUUGUGGUUGUAUCUACUUGGCCUUCAACGAGCCACACUAUUGUACCCAGCUUGUGACACCACCAGAUAGCACUCUGACAUUCUUCAUGGCUCGCGCCCGUGCUUUUCCUGGUCAGGGGACAAGCAGUGCAUCCCAAGCGCCGUGCUGAAAUGGAAAUACCUGGGAUUUUAAUAGUUUGAAACUUCACAGUUUGAAAGGCAAUAAAAGGAAACACCACCGAGUGAAAUAAGAUCCAGGCCACUCAACUGGAGGUUGAAUUUCAAGGUCUUCUUGUGCAGGAAAGUAAAACAUCUACCAGCAGCUUUAAUGUGUCUGCCCCUCGGGGAUAAAAAGGAGAAGGCUAUGUCCAGGACUGCAUUUGAGCGUUCCUGCGACUUUAUGCAUCUGACUAUUCAUUUCCAUGUCCCCAACUCCCUUUUC